ACUUGCCCUGCACCCGAGAUACCUCCUCCAUUCAGGCCACACAAGAUCAGCACUAAUGAGCCUCCCAUCAGGGGCACCCCAGUUCUGAGAAGAAUGCAGGAGCCAAUGCAGAUGCGGAUGAGAAGACCUGCUUCAUGCGUGGUCUCGGGCACCAUGGCAGUAGAGGUGAAGGAUGCACUGACCUUCCCUGUGGAGUAGUGGGCCUGAAAUCCCUAUGUGGGAGACUCCACCUCUGCCUUCCCCAUGGCUCAGGCUCUCCAGACUUCAGUCUACUUGGGAGAAAGACAGCACCUAUCGGCUAAAUGUGCUAAAGAAAUUCCAGCACCACAGCUGUAGCUACGGCAUAGGGCAGAGAAGCAUGCUCGUCCCCGGUAGGGCCCAGGUCCACCUUCUUCUUCUCAGGUGGCCUCAUGGUAGCUGCUAAAAUCUCAUCUCCUUUGAACUCUUUGUAGAGCUCCUGUAGCGUCUCUCUCGUCUCCGAAUUUGUGUUUUUCAAAUAAUAAGAUGGGUCUUGUUUGGCCUUUUCCUCAUCUAUAAAACAGUAUAUUGGAACGGAGCAGCCAAGGCCCCAGAAAACCAAGGCCCCAAAGAGCCUCAAGAUGAGCUAAUAGGAAUAGAGAUGGGGAAGGCCACAUGAGAAGAAGCCACAGGAGAGAACACUCAGAAGUACAAUGGACUGUGUCAAGCACUUCACCCACCUGUGCCAGAUGUUGAAGGCUGGAAGGAGGCCAAGGCUGUGCCCCAACCCAGUGACAAGCAAGAUGGCACAGACUGCCUACCUGUUCAUCAAGCAGUGUGCCCUGCCUUAGGCCUCAAAAAUAAGGAAUGAGGCUUGCUGCCAGGUAGCACAGGAUGUGGACUGGGAAGCCAUUGGACCAAGCUUCAGUAACAACCACAGAGUCGUUUAACCC
rnacentral:lncRNA from 1 species